rnacentral:tRNA from 1 species
GGGCAUAUAGCUCAGUGGUAGAGCACUUGUCUGGCAUGUAUGAAGCCCUGGGUUCAGUCUCUAGUACUACCA